AACGAACGCUGGCGGCAGGCUUAACACAUGCAAGUCGAACGCCCCGCAAGGGGAGUGGCAGACGGGUGAGUAACACGUGGGAACAUGCCCAAAGGUACGGAACAACUCCGGGAACCUGGAGCUAAUACCGUAUGUGUCCGUAAGGAGAAAGAUUUAUCGCCUUUGGAUUGGCCCGCGUCGGAUUAGCUAGUUGGUGGGGUAAAAGCCUACCAAGGCGACGAUCCGUAGCUGGUUUGAGAGAACGACCAGCCACACUGGGACUGAGACACGGCCCAGACUCCUACGGGAGGCAGCAGUGGGGAAUCUUGGACAAUGGGCGCAAGCCUGAUCCAGCCAUGCCGCGUGGAUGAUGAAGGCCUUGGGGUUGUAAAAUCCUUUCGUUGGGGACGAUAAUGACGGUACCCAAAGAAGAAGCUCCGGCUAACUUCGUGCCAGCCGCCGCAGUAACAC
rnacentral:rRNA from 1 species